UAAAUUGAGAGUUUGAUCCUGGCUCAGGACGAACGCUGGCGGCGUGCUUAACACAUGCAAGUCGAGCGAUGAAGUUCCUUCGGGAACGGAUUAGCGGCAGACGGGUGAGUAACACGUGGGCAACCUACCUCGAAGUGGGGGAUAGCCUUCCGAAAGGAAGAUUAAUACC
rfam:Clostridium grantii DSM 8605 genome assembly, contig: EJ34DRAFT_scaffold00016.16